UUCCUUCGCUUGCUUAUUUCCUUCAUUCUGUAUGUCUGCUCGGUUUGGGGGCUCCAAAACUCUAUCGGGUUGAAAAUUGAACUAUAGAUGAAAAAGAGACAAUGCUUACUUAAUGAAUGUUUUGUUUGGGAAUUAGUCUGUACAUUGGCCACAACCGGAUCCACGGGGAAGAGGUGCUUGAGAUGGAGGAGGACAUCCAGAUUGAGGUGCGAGGUCGAUACCAACGCGGUCCUGGGAGGCGUGCACGAGAUCGAAGGCAGGGAGCUCCGGAAGGCAGACGGGGGCAUCGCCUCACUCUCUAAAUUUACACUUAUCUACUCCCUCCGUUCGGAAUUACUUGUCUCGGAUAUGGAUGUAUCUAGAACUAAAAUACAUCUAGAUACAUCCAUUUCUGCGACAAGUAAUUCUGAACGGAGGGAGUAGAAUCCAGUGCUUCAUGACCAUGGCAAUAUUGGCUUGACAAAAACGAUAUAUAAAGUAGUAUCUAUCUUCUUUUUCAGUUGUAUGAAUUUGGAACUGAGUUCUAAUGGCAUACAGUUGUAUGACGUGCUUUGAUUAUGCUCAAAACUGUUCAUUCCAAUGCUUGAUCGGAGUGCAGAUUAUAUAUCAACAACCAGGAACUACCAUACAAUCUUCAUAUCACACAUUCCACCUAUGAGUAUGAAGAUCCGUGACAAGGCAAGAGCAAUCAUGAGGCCUUAUAUGCUUAUCUAUCUCAUCCAUUGAUGAUCUCUUUCAAGGAACAGAAGGACUUCUUGUUCAUUUAGAGAGGAUCAAUCUUUUGAUUUUGGUACUUAAUAAACUAAAUCUUGAGCAUUGGAGGAGGUAGCCCCUGGACUGGUGAAGAGGCAAAUGGGGACACGAGGAGGUUCAUGGUGGUUCCAGGCUCAUCUCUUCGGUGAGCAGCAGUGCGCUACGUUGGACAGUUACCAAGGCUGGACGGAGGUGUGCCCGUGCGGCCGGACGGUGUCGUCCUGGUCGAGCAGAUCACCGUACCAAGGCUGCCUGCCGGACUCCAAUUCCCUACCGCUGUCAAGCUCUAGAUCAAGCUCCACAUGGACCUGUCUAUCCGUGCGAUACUGUGUUUCCUCUGGUGGCCGUCUGUUCCGCUUGGCGUUUCGUCUGGAUCUGAGAGGAGAAGGCCUCAAGCAGGGAGAUGAGGAGGUUCAUGGAACCAUAGAAGUUUUCAGAUGAGAUUAGUUGAAAGAAAAGGGUAAUUUCGCAUGCUGCCAUGCGAGAGUCAGAGGUGGGUGAGUUCCCUGAUCCCCGGCUGUAGCAACAUUGGCCACCACUCUAUGCGCAUCUGUGCCGCCAAAAUCAGAUUUCAUGCGUAUCAAGCAGAUUGUGAAGAAAAUGUACCUGAAGAUGGUUCCUCAACAUGAGAAUCCGAUUAACAUUGUCUUCAAGAAUUAAGGCAAAUUGUUUGUAUGUCAUUAAUCCUCUCCUGUGAAGAUUCAGAAUCAUAAAAGAUAGUAUUCAAGUACAGAUGGACAGGCUUCAUGUUCAGCAAUUUGACACACACGGUGGAGAUUUAAUGGACUAACUACUUUUUUUAGAGGAAGAAGUGGGCACAAGUAGACUGGAAAAACACAAAACAGUGGGAGAUGUCAUGUUCAGCAGCGACAACACCAUUGCUCUUCAUGUUUUAAGUUAAAGUUGUAUUACUUCAGAAUGAUUAGUCAAAGAUCGGUGAUUGUUAGAGGCCUGAAGUUAAUGUGAGAGGAAGGAGCAUGAGUGGUCUUUUCAAUACAGUAAUUUUUCCUUACUGGCAUAGGUUGUCAAGGAUUGUUCUAUCCGUCUGAGUGAAAUGUGUUCAAAGUGAAUUCUUCUCAGGACUGAGACUUAUUUUACAGUAAUAACUUACAUAAGCCCUUCGGUUGAUCGGUUCAA